UACGUAGGGUGCAAGCGUUAAUCGGAAUUACUGGGCGUAAAGCGUGCGCAGGCGGUUCUAUAAGACAGAUGUGAAAUCCCCGGGCUCAACCUGGGAACUGCAUUUGUGACUGUAGAGCUGGAGUACGGUAGAGGGGGAUGGAAUUCCGCGUGUAGCAGUGAAAUGCGCAGAUAUCAGGAAGAACACCCGUGGCGAAGGCGGCUCUCUGGGACGGUACUGACGCUGAGACGCGAAAGCGUGGGGAGCGAACAGG
rnacentral:rRNA from 1 species